ACGCAACUUUCCCAAAACUGGUGAAUAGCCCUCCGAAAGGAGGAUUAAUACACCGUAACAUAACGAGGUGGCAUCAUUUUGUUAUUAUAGGCUUCGGCCGGUUUUGGAUGGGCGUGCGCCUGAUUAGGUAGUUGGCGGGGUAACGGCCCACCAAGCCUGCGAUCAGUAACUGGUGUGAGAGCACGACCAGUCACACGGGCACUGAGACACGGGCCCGACUCCUACGGGAGGCAGCAGUAAGGAAUAUUGGUCAAUGGACGAAAGUCUGAACCAGCCAUGCCGCGUGAAGGAUGAAGGUCCUCUGGAUUGUAAACUUCUUUUAUAUGGGACGAAAAAAGGGAAUUCUUUCUCACUUGACGGUACCAUAGGAAUAAGCACCGGCUAACUCCGUGCCAGCAGCCGCGGUAAUACGGAGGGUGCAAGCGUUAUCCGGAUUCACUGGGUUUAAAGGGUGCGUAGGUGGGUAAGUAAGUCAGCGGUGAAAUCUCCGAGCUUAACUCGGAAACUGCCAUUGAUACUAUUUAUCUUGAAUAUUCUGGAGGUGAGCGGAAUAUGUCAUGUAGCGGUGAAAUGCUUAGAUAUGACAUAGAACACCAAUUGCGAAGGCAGCUCACUACAGAGUCAUUGACGCUGAGGCACGAAAGCGUGGGGAUCAAACAGGAUUAGAUACCCUGGUAGUCCACGCCCUAAACGAUGAUUA
rnacentral:rRNA from 1 species